rnacentral:rRNA from 1 species
GACGAACGCUGGCGGCGUGCUUAACACAUGCAAGUCGAACGAUGAAGCCCAGCUUGCUGGGUGGAUUAGUGGCGAACGGGUGAGUAACACGUGAGUAACCUGCCCUGGACUCUGGGAUAACCCCGAGAAAUCGGAGCUAAUACCGGAUAGGACCUUUCCCCGCAUGGGGUUUGGUGGAAAGUUUUUCGGUUUGGGAUGGACUCGCGGCCUAUCAGCUUGUUGGUGAGGUAAUGGCCCACCAAGGCGUCGACGGGUAGCCGGCCUGAGAGGGUGACCGGCCGCACUGGGACUGAGACACGGCCCAGACUCCUACGGGAGGCAGCAGUGGGGAAUAUUGCACAAUGGGCGCAAGCCUGAUGCAGCAACGCCGCGUGCGGGAUGACGGCCUUCGGGUUGUAAACCUCUUUCGGUAGGGACGAAGCGUGAGUGACGGUACCUACUAAAGAAGCACCGGCCAACUACGUGCCAGCCGCCGCCGUAACAC